CGUUAGGUCAACUCUUGAACGGAGGAGAAUAUCAGACGUCAAAACGAUAAUGACAGCAGAGAAUCAACAAAUACAAAACAUUAUGUUGAAGAAUGGAUGACCGAAAGUAGGUUUGCUUAUUUUAGAUUAUGUUACCGGGGAAAUCGUCGGGGGUUCAUUGCUUCAGGUGAGUAUAUAUUUUACAAUUAAAAAGCUUUCUUUUUUUCAGAUUCACACCCCGAUACAAGGAUACAGCCUAACCAAAUAAAGAAUGAAAUUAAGACCUAGUGUUUUUUUUACCCCGGCUUUAAAUGAAUGGCCGGCCAAACCCCCAGAUCUUUCCCUGAUAGGUCUUCCAGUCGGUAUGAGUUGGAUCCGACUUUCGCAAAUAUUUUGCACGGUGACGAAGAAUUUUCGGACUCAUCGCCAGCUGGUGUAUCAUCAUCGAGUAAAUCUCCAUGAUCACUGUCUGCGUUCCCGUCGCGUUCCAGUUCAGGGUGAAAUUCUGAUUUAAUUGUAUUUACGAUUUGAAAAAAUAAUGUUUUAAGUGUAUUUUCUAGUUCCGAAGUCUUAUUUGUUUGGUUAAGGAGCUGAUAACUACGGUGGUCCCGUAAGCUACGUUUUCUUCGGGAAAACGUGGGAUCCUCGCGAAUUACGAUGGAUCUAACUGUAGUUUCAAAAACUAUUUCAUCUUGUUCUAAGUGAUCUAUCCUCAUUUCGUAGUACCACGUUUUCAUCCAUUCCACUGCUUGAUCAAAAUUUAGAUUAACCUCUGCCAUUUCCAAACGAAAAAAAAGAACAAUUGGUUUCGAAACAAAGCGUUCAAAUGAGAACAAAAGAACUAGGUAACGAUCACUCAAUCCCCGGAAAUUAAUCUCACCCGUCAGUCUAAAUGAAAAAGGCUGAAUUCUGGUAAAUGGUCAAACAAUAGAGACGGUAAAAUUUAUCACUAAAGUAAUUAUCAUCACCCGGAAAGAUUUUUUUGCACUUUAUAUAAAUCACUUGAAUCACAAAUAUAAUCAUAUAAAUAUAACCUGAAAAUGGUAAAAAUAUUUCAAACAAUUUUAUAUUGGUUGCAAUUCCUCCCGGAGCCUGGUAAAAAAGGGUUGCAAUUUUGUUUAAAAUUGAAAACCUUUUUAUAAUUAUUUAGCGUUGGGCGCCAUUUGUUACAAUUUAACAAUUCAAUAUCGGU